CGACGGGGGGGCUAACGUUGUUCGGAAUCACUGGGCGUAAAGGGUCCGUAGGCGGCCCCAUAAGUCGGAGGUGAAAGCCCUAGGCUUAACCUAGGAAUUGCCUUCGAAACUGUAGGGCUGGAGUCCGGUAGAGGGAGACGGAAUUCCCGUGUAGCGGUGAAAUGCGUAGAUAUCGGGAGGAACACCUGUGGCGAAGGCGGUCUCCUGGGCCGGUACUGACGCUGAGGGACGAAAGCGUGGGGAGCAAACAGGAUUAGAUACCCCAGUA
rnacentral:rRNA from 1 species